AAAACACACAUGAAGGAACAUCACCAGUCAGUGCUGAUCAACCCGGCCCGUCAUCUGCACAGGUUUACCUGAUGCAGAGAAACAGCUGAGGCCUGUUUAACCACUGAGGGUCCCACAGGGAACAUUGAAAAGUCAAACGAGGCUUCU